rnacentral:misc_RNA from 1 species
GAUGAAGAACGCAGCGAAAUGCGAUAAGUAAUGUGAAUUGCAGAAUUCAGUGAAUCAUCGAAUCUUUGAACGCACCUUGCGCCCUUUGGCUAUUCUGAAGGGCAUGCCUGUUUGAGUAUCAUGAACACCUCAACUCUCAUGGUUCGCCAUGAUGAGCUUGGACUUUGGGGGUCUUGCUGGCCUACAGUCGGCUCCUCUCAAAUGAAUCAGCUUGCCAGUGUUUGGUAGAGUCGCAGGUGUGAUAACUAUCUACGCUUGUGGUUUUCUGCCAGAUAACCUUCAGUGAUGGAGGUUCGCUGGAGCUUAUAAAUGUCUCUCCCCAGUGAGGACAGCUUUUUGAACGUUUGAUCUCAAAUCAGGUAGGACUACCCGCUGAACUUAAGCAUAUCAAUAAGCGGAGGA